rnacentral:lncRNA from 1 species
UUAUUUUCUGGGCAUUAUAGAUCAGGGGUAACACUGGGAGACAGUGAGGGUCUGACAGUGGAAAGAUCGCCUUCAAAUCAGGACCAACUCAUCAUUGACCUCACCACCCCACCAGCCUCCCCCACCCCUACGAGGUCUUCGCCCGCAUUCGGCUCUCUCUGGACUCCAGCUGCCCCUCCACCAUCACCGAGUACUGGGCCAUCUCAUGCAUUCAGCUCUCUUUGGACUCCAGCUGCCCCUCCACCAUCACCGAGUACUGGGCCAUCUCAUGCAUUCAGCUCUCUUUGGACUCCACACACUGUUGGCGCUGAUCGAAUUGCGGUUGUUCCACCAUCAAGAUUGAACGAUCCUGAAAGAGAGGAAGAGGCUUCAGGAGUUGCAUCUGGGGUUGACCGCGAAGAGGAAGGAGGACAGCAAGCCUCUGCAGAAGACCGGAGCGAAGAUGUGCGCGGUGAGAGGAAUGAGGAAGAUGAUGAUGUGAGAAAUUAUUUCCUCAAUCAAGAGAAUGACUAUGAAGAUAUGACAGGGCACACCACCCGCAGCCUUACAAUCCCCCGCCUUGAAGACGCUGAAUCAGAUUUCUUCAACCAUGUAGUGCCGGUGAUUGAACAAGCGUUUGAGACAUUCAUAAAUGAUUCAUUCCUGUUAAAGGAACGCAUGCUCGUACAGAUAUACCAACGUCUUAGACAAAAUCUCAAUCGUGCUCAAACACGUGGGCUGGGUGUCAGUGCUAUCAGCCGUGCUAUCACCCGCGGGCAGAGAUCCCCGCUACCGAGACUGGCCCCACUUCUCUAAAUCACCAUUUGCUGAAAUCAA